AUUGCUUGUCUAAGAAUAAAGCGAGGGAAGGGCUGGUUGUGUUCAAAGCACUUAUGUUCCAGUUUUACUAUAAUUGAAAAUCGUGACAAAUAACCGUCAGUGAUAUUUCUUGCCUGCUUUAAAAAAAAAGUUUGGUCCAGUGUAUUUAAUUAAUUUAUAUAUUAUACCUCAGAUUCAAAUUGUCCAAUAAAAAAACUGUAUUUGUACCACGUGAUGAGUAGAUUUUUUGUGGAAGCACAUAGACUGCGAACUUAAAUCCUGGUAUUUUUACCCGGGGCAUGUAAUUUAAAGUCGAAUAAUUACCCUCUUUUGCCCGCAAGGGAGGGUGAUUCCACUUUACAUCACCCCCGAAUUCGUAAACUAGCCUGCCGUUACGGGUGUCAGAUUGUAAAUAUGGCCGACGGCAACAAGACGCCGGACGACUUUUUGUCAACAGCUUUAAAUUUUCGGUAUAAUAUAUCAGUUAUCAACCUUUCACUCGGGUGAUUCCACAAGAAAUUACCCUGAGGGAUGAAAUAUUCCGAGGGCAUGCGCUUGGUCUAAUCUAUAAUCAUCUUUGGAAAUAUACUAUUCAUUUCAUGUUUCAGUUUACUAUCGGAACAAAAUAAAACCCAAUUAUCCUGCAUCGCGUGCACGGCUGAUACAGAUUCAAUCGCGAAGAAAUUGGCAGAGACAGCAACGAAGGAGACUAUUCAACUUCUCGGCACAAAUUCAAGCUUAUUUUCAUUAAUAAAAUAUGCAGCAGUUCUCAGGCGAUAUUACCUCUACGGCCAACUGAUGAUGGAUCCAUGGUGCAGCAGUUCUCAGGCGAUAUUACCUCUACGGCCAACUGAUGA